rnacentral:rRNA from 1 species
AACGGGUGAGUAACACGUGGGUAACCUGCCCAUCAGAAGGGGAUAACACUUGGAAACAGGUGCUAAUACCGUAUAACAAUCGAAACCGCAUGGUUUUGAUUUGAAAGGCGCUUUCGGGUGUCGCUGAUGGAUGGACCCGCGGUGCAUUAGCUAGUUGGUGAGGUAACGGCUCACCAAGGCCACGAUGCAUAGCCGACCUGAGAGGGUGAUCGGCCACAUUGGGACUGAGACACGGCCCAAACUCCUACGGGAGGCAGCAGUAGGGAAUCUUCGGCAAUGGACGAAAGUCUGACCGAGCAACGCCGCGUGAGUGAAGAAGGUUUUCGGAUCGUAAAACUCUGUUGUUAGAGAAGAACAAGGAUGAGAGUAACUGUUCAUCCCUUGACGGUAUCUAACCAGAAAGCCACGGCUAACUACGUGCCAGCAGCCGCGGUAAUACGUAGGUGGCAAGCGUUGUCCGGAUUUAUUGGGCGUAAAGCGAGCGCAGGCGGUUUCUUAAGUCUGAUGUGAAAGCCCCCGGCUCAACCGGGGAGGGUCAUUGGAAACUGGGAGACUUGAGUGCAGAAGAGGAGAGUGGAAUUCCAUGUGUAGCGGUGAAAUGCGUAGAUAUAUGGAGGAACACCAGUGGCGAAGGCGGCUCUCUGGUCUGUAACUGACGCUGAGGCUCGAAAGCGUGGGGAGCAAACAGGAUUAGAUACCCUGGUAGUCCACGCCGUAAACGAUGAGUGCUAAGUGUUGGAGGGUUUCCGCCCUUCAGUGCUGCAGCUAACGCAUUAAGCACUCCGCCUGGGGAGUACGACCGCAAGGUUGAAACU